rfam:Hepatitis C virus isolate QC382, complete genome
UAAGCUCAUCGCUCAGGGGGGUAGAGCCAGAAUCUGUGGCAUAUACCUCUUUAACUGGGCGGUAAAAACC